UGCAGUCGAACGAUGAUGCUCCAGCUUGCUGGGGUGGAUUAGUGGCGAACGGGUGAGUAACACGUGAGUAACCUGCCUUUCACUUUGGGAUAAGCCUUGGAAACGGGGUCUAAUACCGGGUAUACACAUUCUGUCGCAUGGUGGUGUGUGGAAAGCUUUUGUGGUGGAGGAUGGACUCGCGGCCUAUCAGCUUGAUGGUGGGGUAGUGGCCUACCAUGGCUUUGACGGGUAGCCGGCCUGAGAGGGUGACCGGCCACACUGGGACUGAGACACGGCCCAGACUCCUACGGGAGGCAGCAGUGGGGAAUAUUGCACAAUGGGCGGAAGCCUGAUGCAGCGACGCCGCGUGGGGGAUGAAGGCUUUCGGGUCGUAAACUCCUUUCAGCAGGGACGAAGCUUUUGUGACGGUACCUGCAGAAGAAGCACCGGCUAACUACGUGCCAGCAGCCGCGGUAAUACGUAGGGUGCGAGCGUUGUCCGGAAUUAUUGGGCGUAAAGAGCUUGUAGGCGGUUUGUCGCGUCUGCCGUGAAAGCCCAGGGCUUAACCCUGGGUCUGCGGUGGGUACGGGCAGACUAGAGUGUGGUAGGGGAGACUGGAAUUCCUGGUGUAGCGGUGAAAUGCGCAGAUAUCAGGAGGAACACUGAUGGCG
rnacentral:rRNA from 1 species